AUCAUUUGUAAUGUGGCAGUAUCGUAGCCAAUGAGGUUUAUCCGAGGCGCGAUUAUUGCUAAUUGAAAAUAUUGGAACAAGCUCAAUGUCCCCUAUUAUGGGGUUGCCUGUCUAUUUUGCACAUUAACAGCUUUAA